UACAGAGGUCUCAAGCGUUGUUCGGAUUCAUUGGGCGUAAAGGGUGCGUAGGCGGCGCGGUAAGUCGGGUGUGAAAUCUCGGAGCUUAACUCCGAAAACUGCAUUCGAUACUGCGGUGCUUGAGGACUGGAGAGGAGACUGGAAUUCAUGGUGUAGCAGUGAAAUGCGUAGAGAUCAUGAGGAAGACCAGUGGCGAAGGCGGGUCUCUGGACAGUUCCUGACACUGAGGCACGAAGGCCAGGGGAGCAAACGGG
rnacentral:rRNA from 1 species